AGUUGUGUUUCCACUAUAUGGAGUUUAUGGACUAUGAUGCAAAAGGUGAGAGUUCAAAUUAAAAGCCAAUGUAGGGUGAUGAUUUGUUAAGACUCAAGAAGAGAACUUGCACUCAGGAAGGAGAGUAGAAGCAUGCAUGCUUGUGUAAUCAUACAUACAGAAUUUAGUAGUGUUGAGCUAAUUUUGUCGACAAAAUAUCUUCAGACACAUAAAGGUA